rnacentral:rRNA from 1 species
GGGGGAGAAGUGAAAGAACUUGAAGAGAGAGUUCAAAAGGGCGUGAAACCGCUUAGAAUAAAACGGACGGAGCCGUCGGUGUCCUUCGGGAAUCAGUCGUACGAUCGGCCAGUGUGCUGCGUUCUAGAGCGCAAGUCUAGGCGCGGUGCUAGUGUAAAGAGCUGUCGUGCGGCGCAUUUCCCGAAGGUUCGCACUGCGACCGAUACGAAUAGGCCGGCGUAGCGGCGGAAUUGAGGUCGAGACCCGUAAGGGACUCGCUACCAGUACUGCCGCCCAUAAACGCCGGACCGUAGUAGGUAUCGAGCGCCAGUAAGAUAGUACGUCGGCGUAAACGCUCGUCUAGCGAUGGACAGUCGGCCGAACGGUUGGUUCUUGCUCGCAGGGACUGGCGGUUCUGGUUGGCUUCGAAGUCGCAGGCGACAUUCGGCGUACUGGCGUCGGCAGUGUCAGUGUCGGCCACCCGUCCGACCCGUCUUGAAACACGGACCAAGGAGUCUAACAUAUGCGCGAGCUAAUGGGUGGAAAACCCAAAAGCGAAAUAAAAGUGAAGGCUGUUUCGGACAGCUAAGAUACGAUCCUAGAGCCGGAGGCUCCAGGCGCAGUAUCGUCCCGUCUCAACGGCAUGUCCGUAGGGCGGAGAUAGAGCGCAUACGUUGGGACCCGAAAGAUGGUGAACUAUGCCUGAGCAGAGCGAAGCCAGAGGAAACUCUGGUGGAGGUUCGUAGCGGUUCUGACGUGCAAAUCGAUCGUCAGACUUGGGUAUAGGGGCGAAAGACUAUC